GAUGAACGCUGGCGGCGUGCUUAACACAUGCAAGUCGAACGGAAAGGCCCAAGCUUGCUUGGGUACUCGAGUGGCGAACGGGUGAGUAACACGUUGGUGAUCUGCCCUGCACUUCGGGAUAAGCCUGGGAAACUGGGUCUAAUACCGGAUAGGACCACAUUUUGGAUGGUGUGGUGGAAAGUUUUUCGGUGUGGGAUGAGCUCGCGGCCUAUCAGCUUGUUGGUGGGGUAAUGGCCUACCAAGGCGUCGACGGGUAGCCGGCCUGAGAGGGUGUACGGCCACAUUGGGACUGAGAUACGGCCCAGACUCCUACGGGAGGCAGCAGUGGGGAAUAUUGCACAAUGGGCGCAAGCCUGAUGCAGCGACGCCGCGUGGGGGAUGACGGCCUUCGGGUUGUAAACUCCUUUCGCUAGGGACGAAGCGUUAUGUGACGGUACCUGGAGAAGAAGCACCGGCUAACUACGUG
rnacentral:rRNA from 1 species